rnacentral:rRNA from 1 species
GACGAACGCUGGCGGCGUGCUUAACACAUGCAAGUCGAACGGAAAGGCCCUGCUUUUGUGGGGUGCUCGAGUGGCGAACGGGUGAGUAACACGUGAGUAACCUGCCCUUGACUUUGGGAUAACUUCAGGAAACUGGGGCUAAUACCGGAUAGGAGCUCCUGCUGCAUGGUGGGGGUUGGAAAGUUUCGGCGGUUGGGGAUGGACUCGCGGCUUAUCAGCUUGUUGGUGGGGUAGUGGCUUACCAAGGCUUUGACGGGUAGCCGGCCUGAGAGGGUGACCGGCCACAUUGGGACUGAGAUACGGCCCAGACUCCUACGGGAGGCAGCAGUGGGGAAUAUUGCACAAUGGGCGGAAGCCUGAUGCAGCAACGCCGCGUGCGGAAUGACGGCCCUCGGGUUGUAAACCGCUUUCGCCUGUGACGAAGCGUGAGUGACGGUAAUGGGUAAAGAAGCACCGGCUAACUACGUG